rfam:Nosema bombycis CQ1 unplaced genomic scaffold NBO_10, whole genome shotgun sequence.
GCCUCCGUAGCUCAGUGGUUAGAGCGCCAGUUUAGUAAACUGGAGGUCCCGUGUUCGAUUCUCGGUGGAGGCA